CCUUGAGCUGGCGAUGAUGCAUUCAAAUUUCUGCCCUAUCAAGUUUCGAUGGUAGGUUAGUGGCCUACCAUGCUUUUAACGGGUAACGGGGAAUUAGGGUUCGAUUCCGGAGAGGGAGCCUGAGAAACGGCUACCACAUCCAAGGAAGGCAGCAGGCGCGCAAAUUACCCAAUCCCGAUACGGGGAGGUAGUGACAAUAAAUAACAAUACAGGGCUUUUACGAGUCUUGUAAUUGGAAUGAGUACAAUUUAAAUCCCUUAACGAGGAACAAUUGGAGGGCAAGUCUGGUGCCAGCAGCCGCGGUAAUUCCAGCUCCAAUAGCGUAUAUUAAAGUUGUUGCAGUUAAAAAGCUCGUAGUUGAGUUUUGACCUUUUGGUUAUUUUGCUGUAAAUUCAUUUUUACGGUUUGAAUGACCUGGGUUUACUGGAUAGUUAGCUAAGGGUUUUAUCUUCGGAUGGGCUUUAGUGAUCUAUCCCUUUUACUUUGAAAAAAUUAGAGUGUUUAAAGCAGGCAUUAUUUGCUUGAAUAUAUUAGCAUGGAAUAAUGAAAUAGGACUUUGGUUCUAUUUCGUUGGUUUCUAGAACCAAAGUAAUGAUGAAUAGGGAUAGUUGGGGACAUUAGUAUUCAAUAGUCAGAGGUGAAAUUCUUGGAUUUAUUGAAGACUAACUUCUGCGAAAGCAUUUGUCAAGGAUGUUUUCAUUAAUCAAGAACGAAAGUUAGGGGAUCGAAGACGAUCAGAUACCGUCGUAGUCUUAACCAUAAACUAUGCCGACUAAGGAUUGGAUGGUGUUAUAUUUUUAAUUGACCCAUUCAGCACUUCCGCGAAAAGCC
rnacentral:rRNA from 1 species